ensembl:lncRNA
AUCUAGUCUAUGUAUAUGUAUGGUCGGCACGUGUGGUAGCAUCUCUGGCUGCUGUUGACCUUGUUUUUGGAGUAAAACACGGUGGAGGCUGAAUUAGUGAGGAUGACUCCUGCUCCUGUCAUCUCUAAGCUCCUCACACAUCUUUACCUGCACAUGAGGAAAAUCACUCCUGUAGAAUGCAGAUGUUCAGAGGGAGAUGAUGCCACAUCUGGUCCAGCUGAUGGAAGGUCUUGAAGUUCUCUGACUGGCCUGGACUGAAGAUGGUCGUCUCACUGGAUUUAAGGUUCAAAUGCCCAGUAACAAACUCCACCAAUGUGCCAACAGGGAAGCUUUAGGUUUAGUAAAUGUUGCUAUGAAGGUUUCACUGUUUUUCUUUGUGAAUGCAAUGUGCUCCAACUGAAACUUGAAUUAGAACUUAGAAGUAAAUCCUUCCAUCUGAAAGGAUUUAGUUGCAUUAAUAAUCUCAUAACAUUCUAAUUUUUAUUCCAGUCUUGGUUGGAAAUAGAAUCUCUGUAUUGAUUCAGGUAAAAACUGAACUUCACAGCAUGUUGGAGCAAAACAACCAGAUGAAAACUGUGAUGGUGUUGGAUUGUCAGACCGUAAUGUUGCAGCUCAAAGCAGCUUUUCUAGCUCAGUUCAUUCUGACAUUCAGCUAUGAAUCAACACAGCAGAUGGUGAUCCAUGCUGUGGAAGUCUCACAUCUCCUGAUUUAAUGGAGCUGCUUUGCACUUUUUA